rnacentral:rRNA from 1 species
ACGGGGUGCAGCAGGCGCGAAACCUUUACACUGCACGAACGUGCGAUAAGGGAACUCCGAGUGCGAGGGCAUACCGUCCUCGCUUUUCUGUACCGUAGGGAGGUACAGGAAUAAGGACUGGGCAAGACCGGUGCCAGCCGCCGCGGUAAUACCGGCAGUCCGAGUGAUGGCCGAUAUUAUUGGGCCUAAAGCGUCCGUAGCUGGCCGGGUAGGUCCGUCGGGAAAUCCACUGGCCCAACCAGUGGGCGUCCGGCGGAAACCACCUGGCUCGGGACCGGAAGACUCGAGGGGUACGUCCGGGGUAGGAGUGAAAUCCCGUAAUCCCGGACGGACCACCGAUGGCGAAAGCACCUCGAGAGGACGGAUCCGACAGUGAGGGACGAAAGCUAGGGUCUCGAACCGGAUUAGAUACCCGGGUAGUCCUAGCUGUAAACGAUGCUCGCUAGGUGUGCCGCCGGCUACGAGCCGGCGGUGCGCCGUAGGGAAGCCGCUAAGCGAGCCGCCUGGGAAGUACGUCCGCAAGGAUGAAACUUAAAGGAAUUGGCGGGGGAGCAC